rnacentral:rRNA from 1 species
UACGGGGGGGGCAAGCGUUGUUCGGAAUUACUGGGCGUAAAGGGCUCGUAGGUGGCCAACUAAGUCAGACGUGAAAUCCCUCGGCUUAACCGGGGAACUGCGUCUGAUACUGGAUGGCUUGAGUUUGGGAGAGGGAUGCGGAAUUCCAGGUGUAGCGGUGAAAUGCGUAGAUAUCGUAAGGAAGACCAGUGGCGAAGGCGGGUCUCUGGACAGUUCCUGACGCUGAGGCACGAAGGCGUGGGUAGCAAACAGG